rnacentral:lncRNA from 1 species
UCAACAUCACUCUCUCGUCUUAGCGGACACCCCAUCAACAUCAGUAUCACUCAAGGCUUGGAAAGAGCAAGACUUUGAGAGGACAGGUUGCUGACCCAAGUGCAAGAAAUAUUGCUCGAAUAUAAUUUCUGUACAGUGCAAGCAUAGAAAGAGGCUGCUCCAGACCUGCAAUGCAAGGACAAGUUUAUCCUUCAGUGUGUAAAAACCAAUGAUGGUGCAACUCCAAAAGAGAUUACUCUAGAAGUGGUACUUACAGUACACAAUGUUGUGGAUUCUGAUGUGGUUGUCUGUAGUUCAAUAAAG